rnacentral:rRNA from 1 species
AGAGUUGAUCAUGGCUCAGGACGAACGCUGGCGGCGUGCUUAACACAUGCAAGUCGAACGGAGUUAAGACUUCGGUUUUAACUUAGUGGCGAACGGGUGAGUAACGCGUGAGGAACCUGCCUCUCAGUGGGGGACAACAGUUGGAAACGACUGCUAAUACCGCAUAAUGUCAUGAACCGGCAUCGGUUUAUGACCAAAGAUUUAUUGCUGAGAGAUGGCCUCGCGUCUGAUUAGCUAGUUGGUGGGGUAACGGCCCACCAAGGCGACGAUCAGUAGCCGGACUGAGAGGUUGACCGGCCACAUUGGGACUGAGAUUCGGCCCAGACUCCUACGGGAGGCAGCAGUGGGGAAUAUUGGGCAAUGGGCGAAAGCCUGACCCAGCAACGCCGCGUGAAGGAAGAAGGCCUUCGGGUUGUAAACUUCUUUUACCAGGGACGAACACAAUGACGGUACCUGGAGAAAAAGCAACGGCUAACUACGUGCCAGCAGCCGCGGUAAUACGUAGGUUGCAAGCGUUGUCCGGAAUUACUGGGUGUAAAGGGCGUGUAGGCGGAGAUGCAAGUUGGGAGUGAAAUCCAUGGGCUCAACCCAUGAACUGCUUUCAAAACUGCAUCCCUUGAGUAUCGGAGAGGCAAGCGGAAUUCCUAGUGUAGCGGUGAAAUGCGUAGAUAUUAGGAGGAACAUCAGUGGCGAAGGCGGCUUGCUGGACGACAACUGACGCUGAGGCGCGAAAGCGUGKGGAGCAAACAGGAUUAGAUACCCUGGUAGUCCACGCUGUAAACSUCAUACUAGGUGUGGGAGGACUGACCCCUUCCGUGCCGCAGUUAACACAAUAAGUWUCCACCUGG